rnacentral:rRNA from 1 species
UCAAGCUACAAAGGGCGCAAGGAGAAUGCCUUGGCACUGGGAGCCGAUGAAAGACGUGGUAAGCUGCGAUAAGCUUCGGGGAGGAGCAAACAUCCUUUGAUCCGGAGAUUUCUGAAUGAGGAAACUCACCAGAGUUCAUACUCUGGUAUCCUGUACUGAAUCCAUAGGUACAGGAGGGGAACCGCCUGAACUGAAACAUCUAAGUAGGGCGAGGAAGAGACAUCAAACGAGAUUCCGUUAGUAGUGGCGAGCGAACGCGGAAGAGGGCAAACCGGAAGGAGAAAUCCUUCCGGGGUAUGGACCGCUUUUAGGACUUUAGCUGUUAAUCGAAUGGCAUGGGAAGGCCAACCAAAGAGUGUGAGAGUCACGUAGAUGAAAACGGCGAGAGCUGCGCGAGUUCCAGAGUACGGCCAGACACGUGAAACCUGGUCGGAAGAUGGGGGGACCACCCUCCAACCCUAAAUACUACCCAGUGACCGAUAGCGUAUAGUACUGUGAAGGAAAGGUGAAAAGGACCCCGGGAGGGGAGUGAAAUAGAACCUGAAACCUUGUGCCUACAAGCACAUAGAGCACAUCAACGUGUGAUAUGGUACUUUUUGUAGAACGGUCCGGCGAGCGAUUGUAUGUUGCGAGCUUAAGGUCUUAAGGACUGGAGGCGCAGCGAGAGCGUGUCUGAACAGGGCGUUCAGUAACAUGCAAUGGGCCCGAAACCGGGUGACCUACCCAUGAUCAGGCUGAAGUGAAAGUAAAAUUUCAUGGAGGGCCGAACCGACCUCCGUUGAAAAGGCGGCGGAUGAAUUGUGGGUAGCGGAGAAAUUCCAAUCGAACUCGGAGAUAGCUGGUUCUCCCCGAAAUAGCUUUAGGGCUAGCCUCAUAUUAGAUACCCGGAGGUAAAGCACUGAAUGGCCUAGCGCCCGAGAGGGUAGCGAAGCCUAUCAAACUAAGAAUGCCGGAGUAUUGAUGUAUGGGAGUCAGACAGUGUGAGAUAAAUCUCAUUGUCAAAAGGGAAACAGCCCAGAUCUACAGCUAAGGUCCCAAAUUGUAUCUAAGUGGAAAACGAUGUGGAAAUACGCAGACAACCAGGAUGUUGGCUCAGAAGCAGCCACUCAUUUAAAGAGUGCGUAAUAGCUCACUGGUCGAGCGUCUCUGCGCGGAAAAUUUAACGGGGCUAAGAUACAAACCGAAGCUUAGGCUGCAACGUAAGAUGCGGGGUAGGGGAGCGUUGUGUAAGCGGAGAAACAGUAGCGUAAGCGGCUGUGGAGUUUACAGAAGUGAGAAUGCCGGAAUGAGUAGCGCGAAUGUGGUGAGAAUCCACAUGGCCGGAAACCUCAGGUUUUUGGAGGAAGGUUCGUCCGCUCCAAGUUAGGCGGGAGCUAAGGUCAGGCCGAAAGGCGUAGCCGAUGCACAGACGGUAGAGAUUCCGUCCCCACCGAAAGAUUUAAGCACAGGGACACUUUUUGAAGGUCGGAGCCAGGUGUUGGUUCUGGUAGUGAUCGAGGGAAAUAUAGUACCGAAGUCCGGCUGGAGAAGAGGCGAGAAAAGCUGUGUGUAUAUCUAAGGUGCCCGUACCGCAAACCGACACAGGUAGGUAGGAAGAAGAUUCUAAGGCCAACGGGAGAAGGGUUGUUAAGGAACUCGGCAAAUUGACCCCGUAACUUCGGGAGAAGGGGUGCUCCAGAGAUGGAGCCGCAGAGAAUCGGCCCAAGCAACUGUUUACCAAAAACACAGGUUUGUGCUAAAUCGAAAGAUGACGUAUACGAGCUGACGCCUGCCCGGUGCUGGAAGGUUAAGAGGAGAUGUGCAAGCAUUGAAUCGAAGCCCCAGUGAACGGCGGCCGUAACUAUAACGGUCCUAAGGUAGCGAAAUUCCUUGUCAGGUAAGUUCUGACCCG